rnacentral:misc_RNA from 1 species
UUGAAUAAACCUGAUGUGGUUGUAGCUGGCUUUUCGAAGCAUGUGCUCGCCCGUCAUCUUUAUCUAUCCACCUGUGCACCUUUUGUAGUCUUGGGGGAUACCUCUCGAGGAAACUCGGUUUUGGGAUCGCCGCGCUGUACAAGUCGGCUUUCCUUGCAUUUCCAAGACUAUGUUUUUCAUAUACACCAAAGCAUGUUUAAAGAAUGUCAUCAAUAGGAGCAAGUUUCCUAAUAAAAAGUUAUA